rnacentral:lncRNA from 1 species
UAUUUUCUUUUUCUAUUUCAGUUAUCCUAAUCCUAAAGAUUGCAUAACAAGUUUCAGCAACCAUCCAAGUCUAGUUUAAUUUUUCCUCAAAUUCCAUUAUCUAUGGUGUGAAUGAGUUGACAAUUUCGGUUAUAUUUUACUAAGAAUGGCAAGGAUAAGAUAGGGUGAUAGGCUCCACAAGUACCUUGAAAUUCUGUUGGAAUUGCAAAAUAUGUAAAUGAUUGAGUUGGACAGUAUUUAUU